rnacentral:rRNA from 1 species
AGAGUUUGAUCAUGGCUCAGAACGAACGCUGGCGGCAGGCCUAACACAUGCAAGUCGAACGCUCCAGCAAUGGAGAGUGGCAGACGGGUGAGUAACGCGUGGGAACCUUCCCAAUGGUACGGAAUAGCUCAGGGAAACUUGAGGUAGUACCGUAUACGCCCGCAAGGGGAAAGAUUUAUCGCCAUUGGAUGGGCCCGCGUCGGAUUAGCUAGUUGGUGGGGUAACGGCUCACCAAGGCUACGAUCCGUAGCUGGUUUGAGAGAAUGACCAGCCACACUGGGACUGAGACACGGCCCAGACUCCUACGGGAGGCAGCAGUGGGGAAUAUUGGACAAUGGGCGCAAGCCUGAUCCAGCCAUGCCGCGUGAGUGACGAAGGCCUUAGGGUUGUAAAGCUCUUUUGGCGGGGACGAUAAUGACGGUACCCGCAGAAUAGCCC